UACGGGGGGGGCAAGCGUUGUUCGGAAUUACUGGGCGUAAAGAGCGCGUAGGCGGCUUGUUAGGUGUGGUGUGAAAUCUCCAGGGCUCAACCCGGAAACUGCACCGCAUACUGGCUAGCUUGAGUGAUGCAGAGGUUUGUGGAAUUCCUGGUGUAACGGUGAAAUGUGUUGAUAUCAGGAGGAACACCCAUGGCGAAGGCAGCAAACUGGGCAUCAACUGACGCUGAGGCGCGAAAGCGUGGGUAGCAAACAGG
rnacentral:rRNA from 1 species